rnacentral:tRNA from 1 species
CUAGUGGUUAGGAUUCCUGGCUUCACCCCAGGCGGCCCGGGUUCGAUUCCCGGUGUAGGAA